UUCAGGUGCGCAUGCUUGAACGGAUACGUGUGCUCUAAUAAUAUUAACUGUAUUUAAGCGGCAUUAAUAAAUAAUUUUAUUGUGUGAAAUAGAAAAAAACGAAGUUAAAAGUGAAUACUAAGUACUAAGGUGAUAAUAACAGGUACUUAAUUAAAAAAGUGAAAUGAGGCAAAAAUAAAUAUAAAUAAAUACUAACUAAGAAAGUUUUGUGAAUCAUAAUUUUAUAAAAAAAUCGAAUAUACAAAAUUCUCGUAUUAUAAAAACAGAAUUGCUGACAAGUUGCAGAAAUUGAUUAAUCAGUAAAACACUUCAGUGAAAUUAAUAGUGAAAAGUGUUUUCAGCUACAUAUACUUAUAUAUGUCGUUAGUUCACCGGCGUGUUGAAACAUGUAAAAAACAAAAAAAAAAAACAGUGAAAAGUGAAAUAAAUUAAAGUUCCAAAUCUGUACUUAGACAGCAACCUCAACUAAACCAAUAAUCGCAACAACUAAGUGAGUUGAUAAUGCGAUGUACCACCAUAUUUGUUAGUGU